AUAAUUUUUUCUAAAUUAGGAUGAUUUGAUAUGUUUAAUAUUAGUGGUCUUAAAAAUAAUAAAUUAAAGAUUUAAUCCAUAUUAAAAUGGUGGAUUAAUUAUAUUUUACUUUUUUAUUAAUGUUGAUUCAAAAACCCGCCCCUCCAAAUCCGUCUUGCCAAAAAGUCAUUUAUUUUAUUAAUAUUAGUUUUAUUAAUGAUAUGACUCUGAAUUAUAAUCUAAAUAUUUUAGCUAAUAACAUAGGAGUGCACUUUAUUUAUUUAAUAGGAGAAUGUACCAUAUGACCUGAAUGCACUUUUAUCCAAAUCCACCAAAAAAGUCUUGCAAAAAUACUAUAGAGAUAAGAAAACAUUGAUAUUGCGAUAAAAAAUUAAAAACUAAUUUUUAUGUGAUUAAGAUUUAAUUAAUUUCGUAUAUAAAAUAUUAAAUUGACUUAUUUGUUUAUAAUUUGGUAACAGAUAGAUAUUUGAAUAUUCAAUAUAUUUUGCUUCAGUUUAAGAAAUCUUUGAUGAUCCGUCUUUAGAUCCAAUAAGCCCUAUAAUCUAGAGAUUAACCUGCAGUAUACCGCAGGUAGGCUUAUAUUUUAGUUAAACUAAAAACUUUUAUUGUAAAGAUGAUUUAAAAAUAUAUGAUACUAUUUUAUUUGAUUUUAAAUGUAUAGUAAACUGUGAGUUGUAUAUGUUUUGUUGAUAUUAUCUAUAUUGUUUAGUGUUUAAGAUUAUACACUUGUAGUUUGAUUGUUAAUUUAAGAGUUUCACCUGUAGUAUACCAUCUUGUAUUAAUAUCGAUCUAAACCCGUUAAUUCUAGGAUUUUCCAGAUUGUAUUAAAAAUUGAAUCACAUCUAAUAUGUUAUUAAUUAUUGUAGUAUAUAAGAUUAUAAAUUUUCUAUAUAAUAUGUAUGAAAUUGAAUAUAAAUAUUUCAAAUUAUGUCUCGUUACUCAGUAGAAAGUUUUCUUAAAUCUAUUUUUCACCUGUUAUAAUAUUAUUUCAUGUAUUGAACAGUUUAUAUUCGUUUUUAAAAAUUCAAAUUAUGGCAUAUGCGAGAAAACUCUAAUUAUUUUUUUAUAAUGAUGAUAUUAUUUUUCUGCAAAAAUAGAAUCAUAUAAAGAUGAGAAGUGAACUAUAAUAAUUAAUAAAAAAAUUAAUAUGAUAAUUUAGAUACCAAAUGUAAUUUGUUGAUUUUAAUUGGUUACUUUUUUGGAAAUUAAUAAUGUAUUUCGUUUUUCUAAUUAAAUUAAAUUAAUUAAAAUUUAGAUAUCACAUCUUAUAUGUUGAUUUUGAUUGGCUAUUAUUUUUGAAAAUUAAUAAUGUAUUUCGUUUUUUAAUUAAUUUAAUUAAUUAAAUUAGUAUUUGACUUUUUAAUCCUUAAAGAGAUAAAUUAAUUUAUUCUUUAAAAUUUUAUUUCUAAUGGCAUACCUAUGUAAUUACUUACAAAAAUUAAGGUUACAUUUAAAAUGUACUUCCCAAAUAAUAUAGUAGGAUAAU
rnacentral:sRNA from 1 species